GCUCCAGUGGCACAAUGGGUCAGUGUGUCUGGCUGUUAACCAGAAGGUUGGUGUUUCGAGCACCCAGAGACA